UACGUAGGGUGCAAGCGUUGUCCGGAAUUAUUGGGCGUAAAGGGCGCGUAGGCGGCUUUGCAAGUGACGGGUGAAAUCCCUCGGCUUAACCGAGGAACUGCCUGUCAGACUGCAUGGCUCGAGACCAGGAGAGGUGAGUGGAAUUCCCAGUGUAGCGGUGAAAUGCGUAGAUAUUGGGAGGAGCACCAGUGGCGAAGGCGGCUCACUGGACUGGUACUGACGCUGAUGCGCGAAAGCGUGGGGAGCAAACAGG
rnacentral:rRNA from 1 species